UACGAAGGGGGCUAGCGUUGCUCGGAUUGACUGGGCGUAAAAGGGCGCGUAGGCGGUUUGCAUAGUCAGACGUGAAAUUCCUGGGCUUAACCUGGGGGGCUGCGUUUGAUACAUGCAGGCUUGAGUUCGGAAGAGGGUCGUGGAAUUCCCAGUGUAGAGGUGAAAUUCGUAGAUAUUGGGGAAGAACACCGGUGGCGAAGGGCGGCGACCUGGUCCGAUACUGACGCUGAGGCGCGAAAGCGUGGGGGAGCAAACAGG
rnacentral:rRNA from 1 species